rnacentral:rRNA from 1 species
AUGGGCAAUAUCAAUAAGCGGAGGAAAAGAAACUAACAAGGAUUCCCCUAGUAACGGCGAGUGAAGCGGGAAGAGCUCAAAUUUGAAAUCUGGUGGCCUCAGGUCAUCCGAGUUGUAAUCUAUAGAAGUGUUUUCCGUGCUGGCUCAUGUACAAGUCCCUUGGAACAGGGCGUCAUAGAGGGUGAGAAUCCCGUCCUUGACAUGAACUACCAGUGCUCUGUGAUACAUUUUCAACGAGUCGAGUUGUUUGGGAAUGCAGCUCAAAAUGGGUGGUAAAUUCCAUCUAAAGCUAAAUAUUGGCGAGAGACCGAUAGCGAACAAGUACCGUGAGGGAAAGAUGAAAAGCACUUUGGAAAGAGAGUUAAACAGUAUGUGAAAUUGUUGAAAGGGAAACGAUUGAAGUCAGUCGUGCUCUUUGGAUUCAGCCGGUUCUGCCGGUGUACUUCCUUUGAGUGGGGUCAACAUCAGUUUUGAUCGCUGGAUAAAGGCUGGAGGAACGUAGUACCCUCGGGUAAACUUAUAGCCUCCUGUCACAUACAGUGGUUGGGACUGAGGAACGCAGCACGCCUUUAUGGCCGGGAUUCGUCCACGUACGUGCUAG